UACGGGAGGCAGCAGGGGGGAAUUUUGGACAAUGGGCGCAAGCCUGAUCCAGCCAUGCCGCGUGCGGGACGAAGGCCUUCGGGUUGUAAACCGCUUUCAGCCGGAAAGAAAUCGCCAAGGUUAAUACCUUUGGUGGAUGACGGUACCGGAAGAAGAAGCACCGGCUAACUACGUGCCAGCAGCCGCGGUAAU
rnacentral:rRNA from 1 species